CUGAGUGGCUACACCUUUCCUGUCAAAGUCUGAUCUCAUCAGAUCUCAGAGGCUAAGCUGGGUUGGGCCUGGUUAGCACUUUGAUGAGACCGCUAGGAAUAUUACCAUAGGUGCCACAGU
rnacentral:rRNA from 1 species